UACGGGGGGAGCAAGCGUUGUUCGGAUUUACUGGGCGUAAAGGGCGCGUAGGCGGUCGUGACAAGUCACUUGUGAAAUCUCCGGGCUUAACUCGGAACGGUCAAGUGAUACUGUCGGACUAGAGUACAGAAGGGGCAACUGGAAUUCCCGGUGUAGUGGUGAAAUGCGUAGAUAUCGGGAGGAACACCAGUGGCGAAGGCGACUACCUGGCCUGUUCUUGACGCUGAGGCGCGAAAGCUAGGGGAGCAAACGGG
rnacentral:rRNA from 1 species